CAAAUUUCUGUACCAGUUUCAUAAUCGUCGUGCAUAUUGAAUAGUCGAACAAAUCUAUCAAUUAAAGUGAAAAAAAUUGUUUGGUUUUUCGAAAAGAAAAAAGUUUCAUAAAUUAAAAUUUGCACAAAAGGAUGAAUGAGUACGCCAGCAGGUUCGCGUACUUAGCACAAAUCGAAACCAUAGAAAAUGAAACUCUACUGAGGCUUUGCAUAUCUUCGUUUAUCGGCCUACUGAUCAUGCGGUUGUACAAAUUUUUCAACACCAAAACGCCCGGGCUAAGUUGGUUGACAACGAACUUCAUUUCUGGCUGUUUUAUCACUCUUUCGUUAUGCGUUUCUGCUCGAUUAUCGCAGAUUGCGAGCGAAAUGAAAUCAGCGGAUUUCCACUGGUUUAUCUUGCCCUUUUAUAUAAACGGUAUGGUGACAUUGACGUUCCUCAAGUUCGCUGCUGCUUUGGAAAGAACUUCGUGCUUUUCCAACAUUGGUUUCUGUGUUCGAGAAAAUUUCUCGAUUUUCCGAAACACAAAUUUCAUAACUUAUUGUAUUGUUCCCAGUUAUUCUCUAAUUUUUUACUAUUUUAAGGAUGAAAUAGAGAUCAUCAAUUACAUCGAUCCAUUCACAAUCAUGAAAAUUAUUCGAAUCGCUUGUUUACUAUUAACGACCAUCGCGCAAAUACGUUCAACGACCACGUAUUUCGAAGAUUUGGCAUUUUGUGCGAUUGUAAAUUUUAUAACAAACCUUGCCGAAGGUUUAGCCGUAUGGUUUCUUUUAGAAAGUACUCGUAAACAUACAAGUACAAUUACAUGCACAUGCACAGCUACGACUUUAUCGUAUCAGCAGUAGCAUAGUUUAUGAAAUCUCACCCUUAUUCGAUUUUUGUCAACACUGAACGCGAUGAGAAAAAAAAUUCGUUUUGUUAUAAACAAAAUUUAAUUAAUUUUUUUUUUUUUUAAAUCUUCACGUCAACGUAACGAAAAUGGUUUCAAAUAAGUAUUUAAUAUUUUCGAAGUACUAAUUUUUUAAAAUGAAGUUGGUAUUUCAUAAAUUUUGUAAAGUUGUGUCAGCAAUUAAUCACUCCCCGAUUGAGUAAAAUUUCGCUUAUAGACGCUGAUAAAUUCGACGGCGACAAUUUGAGACUAAACGCUUAGUAUUUCGCUCAUAACUGUGCGAAUAAUUUCGCGUACAAUAUCGCACCUGCGCGAACGCCCAUCAGAUUAUAGCGUUUGCACAUGUGCGCGAAGUAAUCAGCGAAAUUUCUGGCGUUUUGUCCCGAAUCGUUGCAAAUUGAAGCUGGACAUUUUUUUCCUUUUUUUUGUACCUAUGUUCUUUCUUAUCAUGACCAACAUUCCUGCAUAGUUCCUGGAUACUUUGUAAUAAUACUCGUAUGUGAUACCUAUAUAAUGAUAAGGCAUAGAUAAUUCUGACUGUACAUUUAUUUAAGAAAUAAAUUCAACAUAAUACGUCUUGUA